rnacentral:rRNA from 1 species
GUGGGGAAUAUUGGACAAUGGGCGAAAGCCUGAUCCAGCCAUGCCGCGUGUGUGAAGAAGGUCUUCGGAUUGUAAAGCACUUUAAGUUGGGAGGAAGGGCAGUAAGUUAAUACCUUGCUGUUUUGACGUUACCGACAGAAUAAGCACCGGCUAACUUCGUGCCAGCAGCCGCGGUAAUACGAAGGGUGCAAGCGUUAAUCGGAAUUACUGGGCGUAAAGCGCGCGUAGGUGGUUCGUUAAGUUGGAUGUGAAAGCCCCGGGCUCAACCUGGGAACUGCAUCCAAAACUGGCGAGCUAGAGUACGGUAGAGGAUGGUGGAAUUUCCUGUGUAGCGGUGAAAUGCGUAGAUAUAGGAAGGAACACCAGUGGCGAAGGCGAACACCUGGACUGAUACUGACACUGAGGUGCGAAAGCGUGGGGAGCAAACAGGAUUAGAUACCCGGGUAGUCC